AAGGACUGGCUCGGCUUACACAUGCAGUCGAGGGGCAUCAGGAAGAAAGCUUGCUUUCUUUGCUGGCGACCGGCGCACGGGUGAGUAACACGUAUCCAACCUGCCCUUUACUCGGGGAUAGCCUUUCGAAAGAAAGAUUAAUACCCGAUAGUAUAAUGAUUCCGCAUGGUUUCAUUAUUAAAGGAUUCCGGUAAAGGAUGGGGAUGCGUUCCAUUAGGUUGUUGGUGAGGUAACGGCCCACCAAGCCUUCGAUGGAUAGGGGUUCUGAGAGGAAGGUCCCCCACAUUGGAACUGAGACACGGUCCAAACUCCUACGGGAGGCAGCAGUGAGGAAUAUUGGUCAAUGGGCGAUGGCCUGAACCAGCCAAGUAGCGUGAAGGAUGACUGCCCUAUGGGUUGUAAACUUCUUUUAUAUUAGAAUAAAGUGCAGUAUGUAUACUGUUUUGUAUGUAUAAUAUGAAUAAGGAUCGGCUAACUCCGUGCCAGCAGCCGCGGUAAUACGGAGGAUCCGAGCGUUAUCCGGAUUUAUUGGGUUUAAAGGGAGCGUAGGUGGACUGGUAAGUCAGUUGUGAAAGUUUGCGGCUCAACCGUAAAAUUGCAGUUGAUACUGUCAGUCUUGAGUACAGUAGAGGUGGGCGGAAUUCGUGGUGUAGCGGUGAAAUGCUUAGAUAUCACGAAGAACUCCGAUUGCGAAGGCAGCUCACUGGACUGCAACUGACACUGAUGCUCGAAAGUGUGGGUAUCAAACAGGAUUAGAUACCCUGGUAGUCCACACAGUAAACGAUGAAUACUCGCUGUUUGCGAUAUACAGUAAGCGGCCAAGCGAAAGCAUUAAGUAUUCCACCUGGGGAGUACGCCGGCAACGGUGAAACUCAAAGGAAUUGACGGGGGCCCGCACAAGCGGAGGAACAUGUGGUUUAAUUCGAUGAUACGCGAGGAACCUUACCCGGGCUUAAAUUGCAGUGGAAUGAUGUGGAAACAUGUCAGUGAGCAAUCACCGCUGUGAAGGUGCUGCAUGGUUGUCGUCAGCUCGUGCCGUGAGGUGUCGGCUUAAGUGCCAUAACGAGCGCAACCCUUAUCUUCAGUUACUAACAGGUCAUGCUGAGGACUCUGGAGAGACUGCCGUCGUAAGAUGUGAGGAAGGUGGGGAUGACGUCAAAUCAGCACGGCCCUUACGUCCGGGGCUACACACGUGUUACAAUGGGGGGUACAGAAGGCAGCUACCUGGUGACAGGAUGCUAAUCCCAAAAGCCUCUCUCAGUUCGGAUCGAAGUCUGCAACCCGACUUCGUGAAGCUGGAUUCGCUAGUAAUCGCGCAUCAGCCACGGCGCGGUGAAUACGUUCCCGGGCCUUGUACACACCGCCCGUCAAGCCAUGGGAGCCGGGGGUACCUGAAGUACGUAACCGCAAGGAGCGUCCUAGGUAAUCUACCU
rnacentral:rRNA from 1 species